GAUGAACGCUGACAGAAUGCUUAACACAUGCAAGUCGACUGUGGCGGACGGGUGAGUAACGCGUAAAGAACUUGCCUCACAGUUAGGGACAACAUUUGGAAACGAAUGCUAAUACCUGAUACUGUGAGAGAGGUUUGGGUCCCAUUAGCUAGUUGGAGAGGUAACGGCUCACCAAGGCGAUGAUGGGUAGCCGGCCUGGGAGGGGGAUCGGCCACAAGUGGACUGGGACGCAGCCCUUAGUCAUACGGGGGGCAGGAGUGAGGAAUAUUGGAGAAUCGACCCAAGUCUGAUCAAGCAAUUCUGUGUGAAAGAUGAAGUUUUCGGAAGGUAAAGUGCUUUCAGUUGGAAAGCGGUACCUACAGAAGAAGGGACGGCUAACUACGUGCCAGCAGCCGCGGUAAUAC
rnacentral:rRNA from 1 species